CCCUUAGAUGUUCUGGGCCGCACGCGUGCUACACUGAGUGGAUCAGCGGGUCAGGUUGCGCGAAAGCGUUUCCUAAUCUUUAAAUCCGCUCGUGAUGGGGAUUGACGGUUGCAAUUUUCUGUCAUGAACGAGGAAUACCUUGUAAGCGCGGGUCAUCAUCCCGCGCUGAAUACGUCCCUGCCCUUUGCACACACCGCCCGUCGCUCCUACCGAUUGAGUGGUCCGGUGAGGCUUUGGGAUCUGAGCGGAAAGAGCGUUUCGCUGUUUCUGCUCGGAAAACUCAGUCGAACCUUAUCAUUUAGAGGAAGGAGAAGUCGUAACA
rnacentral:rRNA from 1 species